CCUUCUAGCUUCCCCUGCUAAAUGCUACUCCAGUAGAGACCAAGUGUUGAUGAAUACAGGGGAAAGAAAAAAAUCAACUCUGUCCUCUGCUGCAGCUGAUGCACCACGGCCACUUCCUGCGAUCUGCUUGUUCACAAUCAAGGGACACAGGUGCAGCAGAUGCUGACUCCGCCCGUGCCAUUAAGAUUUACAAAGCAAGAAGAAAUUAGGAAGCUAUGGUAAGUAGUAUGGUGAUUAUUGGAUUUUCAUCUUUCAGGGGUCCAGGUCUGGCUUCA